GCACGCAUAGCUCAGCUGGCCAGAGCGCCGUUCUUACAAAGCGGAAGUCCUUGGUUCGAUCCCAAGUGCGUGCACCA
rnacentral:tRNA from 1 species